AGGAGACAUGGAGGCCUUGUUGCUAGUGGAACCACAGCCGGCAGGCAAGAGACACUCAGCAAUGGUGAAUGAUCCUCUAACUCAGUGGCUGCACUGCUAGGAACUUAACCUAAGAGGGAGAGAUACCAGGAGUACAUGUCCACAGAGAGAAGACCAUGUGAAGAGGCAGCAAGAGGGUGGCCAUCUGCACACCAAGGGGAGAUGCCUGGAACAGAUUCUUCCAUUAUCGCCCUCAGAAGGAAACCAAUCCUGCUGACAAACUUGACCUGGGACUUCCCAGCCUCCAGAACUGAGAAAUUUCUGCUGUUUAAGCCACCCAACAAAGUUCAAUGUGGCCACCGACCUGCCUUUUCAAACUCAUCAUUGUUACGAUUCCAUGAAUUGUUUGAAGUCCAGGAAGGUGAGUUCCCAUGGCAAGUGAGUAUCCAGAUCUCACGGAAACACCUCUGUGGAGGCUCAAUCAUACAUCAGUGGUGGGUUUUGACAGCCGCACAUUGCUUCCCAAGAACCCUGUUAGAAAUGGCAUUGGGAAAUGUUACUGUGGUCAUGGGAACCAGAAUAUUCAGCGACGUCCGCUUGGAGAGAAAGCAAGUGCAGAAGAUAAUUAUUCACAAAGAUUAUAAACCACCCCACCUUGACAGUGAUCUCUCCCUGCUCCUGCUUGCCACACCAGUAAAAUUCACUAACUUCAAAAUGCCCAUCUGCCUGCAGAAGAAGGAAAGGAUCUGGGACAGAUGUUGGAUGGCAGAGUGGGUGACAGCUUAUGAAUAUGACCAACAUGACAACUUAAACAUGUACCUGCAGAAGAUGAGAGUGCUGCAGAUUAGCUGGAGAGAAUGCAGCAAGAGGGUAGAUCAGCUCUCCAGGAACAUGGUUUGUGCUUGGAAGGAACCAGGCACCAAAGGCAAUUGCCAGGUUCUUUCAGAGCAUGGCUAUGGCUGAUCACUACUGACAUCCAGGAGGUACAAACUACUGGGAGGAUUACCACCAGCAGUACCUGAGCAAGAACCCCAAUGGUCACUGAGGAACGCCAGCUGAGGACACUGUGAGAAGUUGGCCAUGUGCAAGCCAGGAAGAGGGCCCUCACCAGGAACAGAAUAAUCUGGCACCUUGAUCUCAGACUUCUAGCCUCUAAAACUGGCUGGCCCUUGAGAUCACAGCAGAAACGCUUUCAACAAACUGGGCAAGUCUUUUGUGGUUCACAUCAGUGGCUUUUCGAAGUGUACAAAGUAUAAAGUCGUUUUUAAAAGUCUGAUUUAAAAGUA